rnacentral:rRNA from 1 species
GCUAUGAAACCGGAACGCUAGUUUCGGUGGAGCCGUCCUUGAAAUACCACCCUGGUUUGUUUGAGGUUCUAACCUUGGCCCGUGAUCCGGGUCGGGGACAGUGCAUGGUAGGCAGUUUGACUGGGGCGGUCUCCUCCCAAAGCGUAACGGAGGAGUACGAAGGUACGCUAGGUACGGUCGGAAAUCGUGCUGAUAGUGCAAUGGCAUAAGCGUGCUUAACUGCGAGACCGACAAGUCGAGCAGGUGCGAAAGCAGGUCAUAGUGAUCCGGUGGUUCUGUAUGGAAGGGCCAUCGCUCAACGGAUAAAAGGUACUCUGGGGAUAACAGGCUGAUACCGCCCAAGAGUUCAUAUCGACGGCGGUGUUUGGCACCUCGAUGUCGGCUCAUCUCAUCCUGGGGCUGUAGCCGGUCCCAAGGGUAUGGCUGUUCGCCAUUUAAAGAGGUACGUGAGCUGGGUUUAAAACGUCGUGAGACAGUUUGGUCCCUAUCUGCCGUGGGCGUUGGAUAUUUGAAGGGGGCUGCUCCUAGUACGAGAGGACCGGAGUGGACGAACCUCUGGUGUACCGGUUGUCACGCCAGUGGCAUCGCCGGGUAGCUAUGUUCGGAAGAGAUAACCGCUGAAAGCAUCUAAGCGGGAAACUCGCCUUAAGAUGAGAUAUCCCUGGGGACUAGAUCCCCUUGAAGGGUCGUUCGAGACCAGGACGUUGAUAGGUCAGGUGUGUAAGCGCAGUAAUGCGUUCAGCUAACUGAUACUAAUUGCCCGUAAGGCUUGAUCCUAUAACA